UACGUAGGUGACAAGCGUUGUCCGGAUUUACUGGGCGUAAAGAGCGCGCAGGCGGUCGAUCAAGUCGAGUGUGAAAGCCCCCGGCUCAACUGGGGAGGGUCAUUCGAUACUGAUCGACUCGAAGGCAGGAGAGGGUAGUGGAAUUCCCGGUGUAGUGGUGAAAUGCGUAGAUAUCGGGAGGAACACCAGUGGCGAAGGCGACUUCCUGGACCAAUACUGACGCUCAUGUGCGAAAGCGUGGGGAGCAAACAGG
rnacentral:rRNA from 1 species